rnacentral:rRNA from 1 species
UACAGAGGGUGCAAGCGUUAAUCGGAAUCACUGGGUGUAAAGCGCGUGUAGGCGGCCUGCCAAGUCUGCUGUGAAAGCGCCUGGCGUUAACCGGGCGAGGUCGGUGGAAACUGGCGGGCUGGAGGCUGGUAGGAGGGGGGGGGUGGAAUUCCUGGUGUAGCCGGUGAAAUGCGCAGAUAUCGGGGAGGAACACCGGUGGCGAAGGCGGCGACCUGGGUAGAUACUGACGCUGAGGAGCGAAAGCGUGGGUAGCGAACAGG